rnacentral:rRNA from 1 species
UGGGGAAUAUUGGACAAUGGGCGCAAGCCUGAUCCAGCCAUGCCGCGUGCAGGAAGAAGCAUCUAUGGUGUGUAAACUGCUUUUGUACGGGAAGAAACACUCCUACGUGUAGGAGCUUGACGGUACCGUAAGAAUAAGGAUCGGCUAACUCCGUGCCAGCAGCCGCGGUAAUACGGAGGAUCCAAGCGUUAUCCGGAAUCAUUGGGUUUAAAGGGUCCGUAGGCGGUUCAAUAAGUCAGUGGUGAAAGCCCAUCGCUCAACGAUGGAACGGCCAUUGAUACUGUUAGACUUGAAUUACGAGGAAGUAACUAGAAUAUGUAGUGUAGCGGUGAAAUGCCUAGAUAUUACAUGGAAUACCAAGUGCGAAGGCAGGUUACUACUUGUGGAUUGACGCUGAUGGACGAAAGCGUGGGAGCGAACA